rnacentral:lncRNA from 1 species
UUCUUCCCUUCAUUCGUCCCAAAUUCUUUUCUUCCUUACCGAGUCCUAACUGAUCCUUUUAUUCUCCUCCAACAAAAGUGUCAAACUCAUACUUUGGGAAGAGGAACAAGGUGACCUACAGACUACAAGACCCGUUAAUGGCAGGCAUUGAAGAGACCAUUUUGGAGACAAUAGAAGAGGGACCACAGGUAGGUAAAAAUUUUGUGUUUCACAUGAUUUUCUUUUUGUCUUGAGGGAUGGUAAUUUGGGUUUCACGUGAAUUUUUUUUGCCUCAUUUUAUAUGAUUUUCAGAUUUAUAAGUGUAUAACACUUGUUGAAUUUCGGUAGGGAAAAAUAUUAUAUGCGUUUCACAUGAAUAAGUAAAUUUUAUUACAAACACUGAAAAUAUACAGGAAAAUUUUACUUUUUUAUAUGAUUCUCAAUAAUUAUUUUCCUGUAUAUAACACUUCACAAUAUGAAAUACCCGAGGUUAUGAAAAUUCACAUUUAUAAGUGUGACUGACCACUCAUAAAUUAGCCCAGAGCUUCCUAAAAUUUUAUAAAAAUAUUAUUUGAAGUUCUCCCAUAUGCUUUGUUUCUACAUUGUAGUCAUUAUAGAGUUAUAUACUCACGAUACUUGGUACUUUGCAAAUAAUACAUUUGAAGAUGAUGCAGAAGUACCAAUUGAAUGUCAUUUGAGUGAUUCAGACGAUAAUGUAAAUGAUAAUGGUUUUCAAGUUGACAAUAAUGCAAGUGAACAUAUUUUGGUUGGAUUGAAUGCAGACCCUGUCGUCGAACUUCAGACUACUGGGGAAGAAGUUAUGGGAUCAGAUGGUGGUUACUGCCCAAGUGAAGAGGACUUGCAUACUGAUUAUUCUUCCAGUGAAGAAAAGACUUAUCAUUUCCUGACAUAUGAUCUAGAGAAUGAGAAGUUAGAUUCUCAGCUGGAGGUUGGAAAACAGUUUUAAAAUGUAGAGGAGUUUAAGCAAGCAGUUAGGAACCACAAGAUAGCAAUCAGGUGCAACUUUAAGUUUAGGCCUAAUGAUGAGUUUAGAGCCCAAGCCAUUUAUAAAUUAGGCUGUACAUGGAAGAUAUGGACAUCAUGGAAUAAAAAAGGGGUGUGUGUGGAUAAAGUCUAAAAACUCAGAACAUAAACGUAUAGAACAAAUAGGCAUUGCACUGCCAAAUAUAUAACAGAGAUGUAUUUUGCAAUUAAUAUCUUUUUGGUACAAUAGUUGAAUGCUGUGAAGUGGAAUUAAUUUGAUGUAACGUUGAACUUGAUCAGAUGCACUUAGAAUGGGA